AUCUUUCAAGUCUCCCCUCUUCUUUGGGUGGGGCUUGGCCUUGGGGGUUGAUGUCGUCUCACCUGGGACGGCUCCCCUGGAAUGCAUUAGCUCGAGGUCGGCCUGUCGGCGGUUCACGGCGUGAUAAGAAAAUGUCCUUCACGUUACGUCCUGGUAAUGCCGUCGCGUGCCCUGUGGCCUUGGCUCCUAAAUGUCUCUUUUGGGACGUCGCUUUUGA
rnacentral:misc_RNA from 1 species